rnacentral:lncRNA from 1 species
GAGGUUCUCGGUGGAUUUUGAAUGGACCACUGGAGUAGGGAGAAAAGACAAAUGGCGACCUCUGAUCUCCUUGCCACCACCUCCCAUCGGUCUCCACUGUCACCUUCCUUCCUAUCAUCACCAACGUCGGGCUUGCCCUCCGAUCUCCCUCAAAUGCUUUUCUUCCCAUAGAUCUUCAAAAAAAGAGAGAAAUGAAAGGAAAAAAAAAACUUACCUAGCACAAAGCUCUAGCCAUCGUCUAAGCCUCCCUAUUUGGCCACUCCAAGCUUCCCACCC